rnacentral:rRNA from 1 species
AUUGAACGCUGGCGGCAGACCUAACACAUGCAAGUCGAGCGGAUGAAGGGAGCUUGCUCCUGGAUUCAGCGGCGGACGGGUGAGUAAUGCCUAGGAAUAUGCCUGGUAGUGGGGGAUAACGUCCGGAAACGGGCGCUAAUACCGCAUACGUCCUGAGGGAGAAAGUGGGGGAUCUUCGGACCUCACGCUAUCAGAUGAGCCUAGGUCGGAUUAGCUAGUUGGUGGGGUAAAGGCCUACCCAGGCGACGAUCCGUAACUGGUCUGAGAGGAUGAUCAGUCACACUGGAACUUAGACACCGUCCAGACUCCUACCGGGAGCAGCAGUGGGGAAUUUUGGACAAUGGGCGAAAGCCUGAUCCAUCCAUGCCGCCUGUGUGAAGAAGGUCUUCGGAUUUUAAAGCACUUUAAGUUGGGAGGAAGGGCAGUAAGUUAAUACCUUGCUGUUUUGACGUUACCAACAGAAUAAGCACCGGCUAACUUCGUG